rnacentral:rRNA from 1 species
CACGGGGGGAGCAAGCGUUGUUCGGAAUCACUGGGCGUAAAGGGCGUGUAGGCGGUCAGGUAAGUGGGACGUGAAAUGCCUCGGCUCACCCGAGGAGCGGCGUCCCAUACUGCUUGGCUUGAGUACGGGAGAGGAUGUGGGAAUUCCUGGUGUAGCGGUGAAAUGCGUAGAUAUCAGGAGGAACACCGGUGGCGAAGGCGGCAUCCUGGACCGGCAUUGACGCUGAGGCGCGAAAGCUAGGGGAGCAAACGGG